rnacentral:rRNA from 1 species
AUUGAACGCUGGCGGAAUGCUUUACACAUGCAAGUCGAACGAUGAAGUCUAGCUUGCUAGACGGAUUAGUGGCGAACGGGUGAGUAAUAUAUCGGAACGUAUCCAUUAAUGGGGGAUAACUAGUCGAAAGAUUGGCUAAUACCGCAUACGUCCUACGGGAGAAAGCUAGGGACCUUCGGGCCUGGCGUUAAUGGAGCGGCCGAUAUCUGAUUAGCUAGUUGGUGAGGUAAAGGCUCACCAAGGCGACGAUCAGUAGCUGGUCUGAGAGGACGACCAGCCACACUGGAACUGAGACACGGUCCAGACUCCUACGGGAGGCAGCAGUGGGGAAUUUUGGACAAUGGGCGCAAGCCUGAUCCAGCCAUUCCGCGUGAGUGAAGAAGGCCUUCGGGUUGUAAAGCUCUUUCGCAAGGGAAGAAAACUUACCCUCUAACAUAGGGUGAGGAUGACGGUACCUUGAUAAGAAGCACCGGCUAACUACGUGCCAGCCGCCGCAGUAAUAC